rnacentral:rRNA from 1 species
GACGUAGGGGACGAGCGUUGUCCGGAUUCAUUGGGCGUAAAGCGCGCGUAGGCGGUUACGCAAGUCGGUUGUGAAAAUCCGGGGCUCAACCCCGGACCUGCAUCCGAUACUGCGUGACUAGAGGUAGGUAGGGGAGAUCGGAAUUCCUGGUGUAGCGGUGAAAUGCGCAGAUAUCAGGAGGAACACCGGUGGCGAAGGCGGGAUCUCUGGGCCGUACUGACUGCGCUGAGGAGCGAAAGCUGGGGAGCAACAGG